GCUCAAAUUGCAGUGUGUAACAAUCACAAUAGCAGACUUAGCUGCACUCAUUUUUCUAUUGCACAUUCUGCACUGCUGCACAUUCUCCACUCCAGUUCUGCACGAACCCAGUAUAUUUAUAAUGUAGAACCUAUUUUUAAUACUACCCAGUAGUUUUGUUUCUUCUGCCUAGUUUUUCCAAAAGACCUCACUGUGUGUGUGAUUCACUUACCAUUUUGACUGCACUGUUGCCAUGCCAAAGAUCUAAACUUUUGGAUCUUUAAACAGAGGGACAUGUCCAGCCCAAUCCUACUAUAUUCAGUGGCCUUUCUCUAAGAAAGCAAAAGGGCAGUGCUGGCAGAUGAUGGCAGACAUCAUGUUGGAAGGUGAGCAGGUGAACAAUCCCCUGAGGUUUGGGAUGGCAUCAUUAAUCCUGAAACAGUUUUCCCAGAGUCCUUCCUCCUCUUGGGAAUCUACAUGAGAAGCAGGAGGAGGAGAUGUGUCUCACCUCACAUAUCAGGGCACUCAAAGCAG